rnacentral:rRNA from 1 species
UACCAGCACCCCGAGUGGUCGGGACGUUUAUUGGGCCUAAAGCAUCCGUAGUCGGUUCUACAAGUCUUCCGUUAAAUCCACCUGCUUAACAGAUGGGCUGCGGAAGAUACUAUAGAGCUAGGAGGCGGGAGAGGCAAGCGGUACUCGAUGGGUAGGGGUAAAAUCCGUUGAUCCAUUGAAGACCACCAGUGGCGAAGGCGGCUUGCCAGAACGCGCUCGACGGUGAGGGAUGAAAGCUGGGGGAGCAAACCGG